AGAGUUUGAUCCUGGCUCAGGAUGAACGCUAGCUACAGGCUUAACACAUGCAAGUCGAGGGGAAACGACAUCGAAAGCUUGCUUUUGAUGGGCGUCGACCGGCGCACGGGUGAGUAACGCGUAUCCAACCUGCCCACCACUUGGGGAUAACCUUGCGAAAGUAAGACUAAUACCCAAUGACGUCUCUAGAAGACAUCUGAAGGAGAUUAAAGAUUUAUCGGUGAUGGAUGGGGAUGCGUCUGAUUAGCUUGUUGCGGGGUAACGCCACAAGGCGACGAUCAGUAGGGGUUCUGAGAGGAAGGUCCCCCANAUUGGAACUGAGACACGGUCCAAACUCUACGGGAGGCA
rnacentral:rRNA from 1 species